AUUGAACGCUGGCGGCAUGCCUUACACAUGCAAGUCGAACGGCAGCACGGGAGCAAUCCUGGUGGCGAGUGGCGAACGGGUGAGUAAAGUAUCGGAACGUGCCCAGUCGUGGGGGAUAACGUAGCGAAAGUUACGCUAAUACCGCAUACGAUCUAUGGAUGAAAGCGGGGGAUCGCAAGACCUCGCGCGAUUGGAGCGGCCGAUAUCAGAUUAGGUAGUUGGUGGGGUAAAGGCUCACCAAGCCGACGAUCUGUAGCUGGUCUGCGAGGACGACCCGCCACACUGGGAAUGAGACACGGCCCAGACUCCUACGGGAGGCAGCAGUGGGGAAUUUUGGACAAUGGGCGAAAGCCUGAUCCAGCCAUGCCGCGUGCAGGAUGAAGGCCUUCGGGUUGUAAACUGCUUUUGUACGGAACGAAAAGGUCUACUCUAUACAGUGGGCUGAUGACGGUACCGUAAGAAUAAGCACCGGCUAACUACGUGCCAGCCGCCGCCGUAA
rnacentral:rRNA from 1 species